UUAACCGAUAGCGCAUAGUACCGUGAGGGAAAGGUGAAAAGAACCCCUGGAGGGGAGUGAAAUAGAACCUGAAAUUGUGUGCUUACAAGCGGUCAGAGCCCAUUUGGGUGAUGGCGUGCCUUUUGGAGAAUGAUCCUGCGAGUUACGUUAAACGGCGAGGUUAAGUAUAACGGAGCCGAAGGGAAACCAAGUCUUAAUAGGGCGAUAUAGUCGUUUGGCGUAGACGCGAAACCUGGUGAUCUAAACCUGUCCAGGAUGAAGCUGUGGUAAGACACAGUGGAGGUCCUAACCCACCGCCGUUGAAAAGUUGGGGGAUGAGGUAGGUUUAGGGGUGAAAAGCCAAUCGAACCAGGAGAUAGCUCGUUCUCUCCGAAAUGCAUCUAGGUGCAGCCUUGAGUGUUCAAUUAUGGGGGUAGAGCACUGAAUGAUCUAGGGGGCAUAUUGCUUACUGAAAUCAAUCAAACUCCAAAUACCAUAAUUUAUAGCUCAGGAGUGAGACCAUGGGAGUUAACUUCCAUUGUCAAAAGGGAAACAACCCAGACCACCAGCUAAGGUCCCUAAUUAUAACUAAGUGGGAAAGGAGGUGGAGAUUCACAAACAACUAGGAGGUUGGCUUAGAAGCAGCCAUACCUUUAAAGAGUGCGUAAUAGCUCACUAGUCGAGAGUCUCUGCGCCGACAAUGUAACGGGGCUAAGUUAUAAACCGAAGCUGUGGAAUCCUUAUGGAUUGGUAGGAGAGCGUUCUGUAGGCUGUUGAAGAAGAAGGGUAACCAACUUUGGAGGUAUCAGAAGUGAGAAUGCAGGAAUAAGUAGCGAGAAAGGGGGCGAGAAUCCCCCUCGCCGGAAGACCAAGGUUUUCAGGGUAAAGCUUGUCUUCCCUGAGUAAGCCGGGACCUAAGCCCAGGCUAUAAUGCGUAGGCGAAUGGAAAACAGAUUAAUAUUUCUGUGCCAGUCAUUUAUUGUGAUGGAGGGACGCAGAAGGGUAUGUGCGCGGACGAUCGGUUGUGUCCGUAGAAGUAUGUAGGGUGACUUAGUAGGUAAAUCCAUUAAGUUAUAUCUGAGGUAUGAUAUACAGUCGUAAGAUGAAUGUACAAAUCCCACGCUGCCAAGAAAAACUUCUAACGUUAAUAUAUGACUGCCCGUACUGUAAACCGACACAGGUGGUCAGGAUGAGAAAUCUAAGGCGGACAGGCUAACUCUCGUUAAGGAACUCUGCAAAAUAACCUCGUAACUUCGGGAGAAGAGGAGCCCUUGUGUGUUAGUAUACAUGCGAUACAAAGCGCACGAGGGUCGCAGUGAAGAGGCUCAAGCAACUGUUUAACAAAAACACAGGUCUAUGCUAAGCUGUAAGGCGAUGUAUAUGGGCUGACACCUGCCCAGUGCUGGAAGGUUAAGAGGAGGAGUGAGAGCUCCGAAUUGAAGCCCCAGUGAACGGCGGCCGUAACUAUAACGGUCCUAAGGUAGCGAAAUUCCUUGUCGGGUAAGUUCCGACCUGCACGAAUGGUGUAAUGAUUUGAGCGCUGUCUUGACGGGAGGCCUGGUGAAAUUGUAUUACCGGUGAAGAUACCGGUUACCUACAGUAGGACGGAAAGACCCCAUGGAGCUUUACUGUAGCUUGGUAUUGGGUUUUGGCAUUGCAUGUAUAGGAUAGUUGGGAGACUAUGAUGGUAUGGCGCUAGCUGUAUCGGAGUCAUCGGUGGAAUACCAACCAUUCAAUGCUGAAAUUCUAAUCUGUGGUUUGAAGCCACGGAGACAGU
rnacentral:rRNA from 1 species